rnacentral:ncRNA from 1 species
GAUUUGGUCGCCCCGGAAAGGCGAUAAUAGGGAAGCCGGUGCAAGUCCGGCGCAGUCCCGCUGCUGUAAGCUCGAAAGUUGAGCCCCAAUCUGUUAAGUCACUGUGCGACGCCAUAGUCGCAUGGGAAGACGGGGAGUUCGCGAGCAAGCCAGAAGACCUGCCAAAUCUG